rnacentral:rRNA from 1 species
AUCGCUCAACGGAUAAAAGGUACUCCGGGGAUAACAGGCUGAUACCGCCCAAGAGUUCAUAUCGACGGCGGUGUUUGGCACCUCGAUGUCGGCUCAUCACAUCCUGGGGCUGAAGUAGGUCCCAAGGGUAUGGCUGUUCGCCAUUUAAAGUGGUACGCGAGCUGGGUUUAGAACGUCGUGAGACAGUUCGGUCCCUAUCUGCCGUGGGCGCUGGAGAACUGAGGGGGGCUGCUCCUAGUACGAGAGGACCGGAGUGGACGCAUCACUGGUGUUCGGGUUGUCAUGCCAAUGGCACUGCCCGGUAGCUAAAUGCGGAAGAGAUAAGUGCUGAAAGCAUCUAAGCACGAAACUUGCCCCGAGAUGAGUUCUCCCUGAGACUUUAGGUCUCCUGAAGGAACGUUGAAGACGACGACGUUGAUAGGCCGGGUGUGUAAGCGCAGCGAUGCGUUGAGCUAACCGGUACUAAUGAACCGUGAGGCUUAACCUU